rnacentral:lncRNA from 1 species
GCCGAGGUCCUCUUCCAGGAUUGGCUACCUCCUCAUAACCAUAAGAUAAUUAAAACUUGGCGGGGGGGGGGGGCAGGGUUAAAAAAACUUUUUUUAUCAGUCAGAGGAUAAUGCAAGUGUUUAACAGAUGCUUCACUAUUAAAAUAUUUUCCCCCCAAGUCUCAAAUAUUGAAGAAUCUCUAACCAGGGACACCAGUCCCUACGAAGACCUUGGGCGAUUUUGAAGUGCGGGCACCUCGAUUCCCCGAAUCUGUAGUGUGGCUGGUAUCGGUGUUCCCCUGGUUUAACUAGCCUGUUUGAAGGCACAGAUCAUUCAUGGGGAUGUAUAACCGAAACCAGUCCUCUCCACCGCCUGGGGAUCUUCACUUUCGCAGUCUACGACUGCCUGUGACUCCAGAAAGACAAACUGCAGAUUGGCCAAGCUGCCUGAAGACCCAGCCCGACAGCGAUGCCUGUCAGCCCGCGUCGCCCACCAGGGCAGCUGCUCUCCCAACUCGCAUGGGGGGCACCACCCCGCCUCGGUGCCCUAGAGCUGAGCGCAGCCGCGGCUCCACGGGGAUCGCCAGGGCCUCAGCCCUCGCGGCCGGCGGCGCGGGAGUGUUGCGGGGCAGGGACCAGAGCGCGAUCAGAGCGGCCACCCCCGAUUUAGGUCGCCAGCUUUCCAGUCACUGCGAUGGCCACUGGGGCGCCCCUUCCAUCCUGGUUAAAUUCUCAUUGUGAUCCCCAGCCCUCUUCUCGGUUCCCCACACCCAGGAGGCCGGUUCUCCGCCGCUCAGGCUGGGAGAGGUCACCGCUCCGGGCAGGGUGGACCCCCAGCUCCGUCUCGGAGGACCUUUCGCCGGAGGCGAGCAGGAAGGGGUUAACCAUGAGCCUCCCACCCUCACCUCCCAGACCCUGGUGCCGGGCUAAGGCCUCCGCUUCCCUCCUGAGGUCUCAUUAGGAAACCCUCACCGCUAUUUUCAACAUUUCCUCAAUCAAGUGCCUUUAAAUAGAGCUGCACAAACAGAUUGGCGGCAAAAGCGUAGAUCUUGUCACGAUUGAGACCAAUCCAGUAUUUCAGCCUUGUUUGCUUUGCAAUUACGGGUUGGCUUGUGGCUACGGUGCCACCGGGGCAAAUCUGCAGCCGCUCGCUUUCUCCUCUGCGCUCCGGGCGGGUGGAGGAAGCGACCCGCGGAGUCACUGCAGGGAGGAGAGGGGGACGCGCGCGGGGGGAGGCGGCGGAGGGCGGAGGAGACUCGCUUGCACCCCAGGGCCGCGGGCACGCAGAGCUGUGUUGAAGGACAUACUUUUCAGGUUCCUGACAGUCACUGAGCUAUACGCAAUAAUAAAGUGCGUGAUUCGCGUGUGGAAACCAGUGUCGUGUCCUUACCAGCUUCCUUUUCUGUCCACCUUCCCUCUCUCUUCUACCUCCGUUUCGCUUUUCUUCAGUGCAUGUUAGCGGUUUGCUGGAUUUCCCUUCUCCCUCGCUGUUCAACUGCUAGCAUGAUUUGUUACAUUUUCCACAGCUGUUUAUUCUUGUUUGACUUUUUGUACAAAGUCACUUUAAAUCUGCUGCAGAAAGAAUAAAGCACCUAGCCCUUUGGAUGGACUCCUGCAGGCGUGUGGCUGUCCCUGGCCCACUUUUAAUUCUUUGGAGAUGGCUCUUCUGUGUAAAUCAGCUGCUGGGUGCGUUCGGUCACCUCGUAGGCCAGCCUAGUUUGUAUCAGCAGAACAGUAGUGGACUCGACUCAGGUCGUAAGCCUUAUAUUUCACAGACAAUUAAAUCUUGGCUGCUGUUGAACAAAACUGUAAUAUUUACUUUGUUCUAUACCGAGAAGCACUUUUAAAGUAAAAAAGAAAAAAAAACCAAAUACUACACUUCAAAAAGAAAAUAUGACAAUGAAUCUCUUUUUAUGGAUUCUCUCUGCAUAAGUGGAAACAAUAUGAUUUAAAUCCCCAACACCCCAUCCCCCUUUUCAGACACAGCUGAAGUGAUACAGAUACUGUCUUCUAACACAUAAUCUCCCUCUCUCGGGAGAGGCACCUGCCUGUGCUACAUUCGAUUUAGUUUGUAAGGUUUCAGGCCCCUCCCCGACCCAUGUAAUAUGUAACAAGGAUUAUCAAAUAAUAAGGUCUUGGAUGUGAAGUCUGCUUUACACAAGAAUUCAAGAAAGAUAGGCAGGACUUGAGUAAUUAUGUUACAACUUCAUAUUACUUUCCAAAUGAAUACCCAUUUUCUUCUCAUGUCAACUUCUAGAGAUGGGAUGCUGAGGCAGAGAAAUAUUUUUAUGAGACUCUGGAGUACAUACUAAAAUGUGCUUCCUUAUUAUUUAAGAAUGUGUAAGGUAUGGACCUACAUUUGUUUGCUGGUGGUCAUAAAAUAAAUUCAUAGCCAUUGUGGCCAAUAAGCAAUCUCCUUCACGCUUUAAAAGUUUUUGGUUUAUAAUCCCACCUGGAUUGUAUUUUCACUAUUCUGUAUCACCCUCCUAUUGCAAUAUUUUGGUUCUCAAUCUUAUGUAAAGCAAACCUCAGAAAUGAUCGUUUCCAUAAAAUUGUGCAAUGGCAAAGCCACAGAAUAAUAUUUUGAGUCCAUAUAGCCGUGCAUGCUCAUCUAUAUAGCUCUUAUACAGUUUUCUAGCUGAUUGCUUUGGUAUUUCAAGAAAUAGGAAGCAGUAGCUACCUAUUUUAAUGAAAGGGUACCAUUUCAUAAGAAUUCUAUUUUCACUGAAAAAAUUGGUCUGGCACAUUAUUCAAUGCAAAAGAUUAUAAUAUUACUUUCACGUGUGUUAAUCUGUUUAGUAUAAAACUGCUAGGGUGUCUUAACCAUUAACGCGUUUUGCCACACUACUUUCAAAUGGUGAUCUGAGAUAAUUACGAAGAUUUUGAUGUUAAUCCCACGUUAAAUGAACAACUAUGAAAAUAAUCUUAAAGCAUUAUUACUCCCAUAUACAUGCCAGCAAACCCAAUUGUGGAGAGAACAUGAUUACUUUUUAUCUGACAUUAUCCUAUAAGGAUAUGGCUACAUUUAUUUCUUUUAAAAUUGGAGCAGUUUUCAAUUACUUUUUAACAGAAUUGUUUUCAACACAGCAUUUUGCAGUGCCCAUAAACCAUAGCAACUUUGUCCUGAUCGAUACAUAUUUUUCUGCAUUAUUAUUCAUUAGCCUCUUUGCAAACUCACUAAAAUAGAAUAGUAUUAAAGUAUGAAUAUAUAGAGAACAAUUAUUAGGUUCUACAUAUUUAUUUAGGUAAACCAAUGUUAUUAAAAUUAAAAACAUGUGCCUGGCAUAUAAGUGCUUCUUCAGGAAUUCUUUUUUGGAUGCAUAGUUAUUAUUUUUUAAACAAACUCAGAUUUUCAAACACUGAUUUUCUUCUCUGAACGGGCAUUGCAUUGUUUUAAACAGUAGCUCCUGGAAUAAUGCCACCUUUAGUAUUUUAGACUUUCAAACAACAAUUGGAAUUGGAUAAAUGCUUUCAGCUGGGAGCACUUUCCUAAUACCUUUGUAGGUAAUGGGAUUCUCUAUUUGUGCUGGGUGACAAACGGACAGUGCCCUGGACAGACUGCCUACCCUCUGCAGAAUCUACCAAAAAGUAGAGUUUUCCCAUGAGACUGCUUGUGGUCCAUCUAAAAAUGAAAAAAUAAUCAGAGAAAAUGCGCAAAGCCUUUUCUAACUACAGUUAUGAAAUGAUGGCUUAAAGAGGUAUUUAGAAAAUAAGAGUGGAGUAAUACAGAAACAAAAUCUGAAGAAGAAAGUUUGCUUAGGAGCUGAUGCUCUUUGUCUACAAACAAGAGGGUAAGGAGCUGGAUCCAAUUGAAUUGAAUUGUUUUUGUUUGCUUGUUUGUUUUCUUCCAUUCAGUGCCUUUCAAACUGUUUUUUACUGGAUGAAGAAACUCAACCAAGAAAAUAUAUGUCGAUUCUUGUAUAUGGGACAAUAUUAGCUGCUGUGAUUUUUAAUACUAGCAUAAAAUAUAAGAAUCUUUUUAUUACUGUGAUAUUGUUUUUUCCUAAAUGAAUGCAUAGUGUAACAAUUGGUGUCAAAAAGCAUUGAAUUUUUUUCAGAUGGAUUAAGCUGGAAUAAUAAAGUAUAUCUAUGAGAUGAUUUCUGUAAACUCUGACUUGCUGAGAAAAAAGUGAAAAAGCUUUUUCUGGAAGAAACAUGGCAACUUAACCGUUAUUAAUCUGGACUAAAUAAAACAGGAAACUGCUUCUUUACAUUUCUAGUAAUUUUUUCUGCUUUUCCAAACAUUGUUAAGUUCUAUGCAACUUGUGCUAUUCAAGUAAAGAUGAUGUCAGUAAUAAAAUUACAGAAUCUAAUCAAGUGACUAUUUUUGCUUUAUUACAAAAUUUAUGUAUUUAAUUGGGAUGUUUAAUUGCUUAGUUUUUAGAACACUGAAUUUUUCUUUUUCCAGACAACAGAGUGAUAUUUAAUGAAGUGCUUAUAAAGAUAAAUACGAUGGUUCAUCAAAGAUAAAAUAGUCAUAAUAACAAGAUGGCAUUUGAGUCAAUGUGGAGUGGACUCUGCUUUGUAAAUUAUACUGCUUUUUAAAAGCAUGACCUAGGUAUUUACAAUGGGGACAUCUGAGAAGAGAAACUCAAGAGUCCUCAACUUACACAGCCAAGAAUACACAAUCAUGUAGGAGAACUUGCCCUCAGAAGCAUUUCUCUAUUGACAUUGCCAUUUCUUUUCCUCCAUCUAGUACUUCCAUUUGCUCUAUUUCACUAAAAAGUCACAGAAUUAAGAGUGGCUGCUGCAACUCACUGGGCUUUCUCUGCUUAAAAAACCUUAAUAUCACAUGGUAUUAAUACAGCUACAUUAAUAAUUGAAAGAUUCACUCAGCUGACCCUAUGAUUUUUCUAAUUAUUGUUAACUAUCUGAAUAUUUGGAAAUAAUUGUAUUUUUCCACUGACUUUUUCUCAUUGCCUUGGGUACUAGAAGGUUUUUUUUUUUUUUUUUUUUUUUUUUUUAGAUGGAGUUUCACUCUUGCUGCCCAGGCUGGAGUGCAAUGGCGCGAUCUUGGCUCGCUGUAACCUCUGCCUCCCAGUUCAAGUGAUUCUCCUGCUUCAGCCUCCCGAGUAGCUGGGAUUACAGGUGCAUGCCACCAUGCCCGGCUAAUUUUGUAUUUUUAGUAGAGACAGGGUUUCUCCACGUUGGUCAGGCUGGUCUUGAACUCCUGACCUCAGGUGAUCCGCCUGCCUCGGCCUCCCAAAGUGCUGGGAUUACAGGCAUAAGCCACUGUGCCCAGCCGGGUGCUAGAAGUUUUAACAUAUAACUUCAGACACAACUGAGUAAAUAGUUAGCUGUAUAUAUUUUAUUGUAUUGUUAUUUAUAUUAUGUCGGCUUUGUGUCAGAAAGGAUUUAAAGCACUUGUUUCAAGAAUUGGUAUGCUAUAUUUUUCAAAAUCUGUGUAUAAAAAUAAUUCCCAUAAGUACCACUGUAAUUUACUUUUCAUGUGUAUUACAAAAUCAGUUAUGUGUUCUGGUAAACAUUUUGAUCCCAAGAGGAAGCAGGAUUACAUUUAGAAUGUGACAAAUUUUAAAAAUUAAUUUUGUUGUAAAGAAAUCUUUAUAAUGAUAUGCCAUAAAGUUAUUACUAUGCAUGUAAGGCCGCAUACCAUAGUGAUUAAGAGCAGGUCCUUGGAGUUAGAGGCACAGUCUGAACUUGACUACAAAAGUUAUCAGCUGUGUGAUCUUGGGAAAGUAACCAUUCUCAGCUUUAGUUACCACAGCUGUAAAAGGUGGAUAAUAAUUAUAGACUCUGUCCUGUUGUUGUGGUGAACAUUUAGUGAGACGACUCACAUGAGGGGCUGGCAUAGGGUAAGUACUUACUCAAUAUCAGCUGUUCUCUUUGGCAUAGCUCUGUUAGAGUGGCAUGCCACAGUUACCUUCUUGAGAGCCACUAAGCGUGGGAACGGUAACAGUCCACAGAAUUUUUGGAGAUUGGUAUGAGGAGGCUGCAUUGGCUCCCAGCCCUCAGGGUUGACAGGGUGAAGGUAAUGGCUUCUGGCUGUCUUUAGAGCUCCCAAAAGAUAUGAGAAGAUGGUUCUAGUGAUGACAACCCACUGUUCUGUCAGUGGAAAUCUAGUUUUAUGCCAUCUUCAUCAUUCGUGGUGUAGUCUAUCGGUGCCUGACACAAACGUCUAGAGUGGGGAAAAUAACACCUUAAAGAAAUAGAAUAUCUUAGGUCCAUGAUUUGCCUGCUGUGUUUAUUAUGUACCCCAGCAGUAAAAUAUUUUAAGUAUAUUUAUUUGCAAAUCAUACAUCUGUACAUCUUUACUGAUAUGUACAUGAUAAACCUGUGCAAAAAAUAACCUAAAAAGGGGUAAGAUUAAAAUGAAGAAUUAGACAAAAGGUUUAAAUGUUUUAAGGUAAGAUUCAGCAUCAUCAACAGUGGGUAUAAAUCCAUACUUCAAAUAGCCUUGGUGGUUUAAAAAUCCUCUGGUUGAUUUACCUUUGGAUUCAUAUCAUCAGUGUUUCCGUCUUGUUUUGUGGCUGAGAAGAGGAGGAGCAGUGUCAGUUCUGCCAUUUUCCUGUCAAUGGUUUAUGUCUGCCUUCUUGGAAUCAUAUUUAAUGAAAGGUUCUUUGCAGGAAUAUUUUUAAACCCCUUGUUCAUUUGGUGAAGAUUAGUUUAGUUAAAACUGGAUUAUAUAAUAUAUUUCAAUCUAACUGAGCCAGACAAAUUGUAACACAUUUCAGGCCAUGUGUGCUUCUAAGAGGGCCACUGUUAACCCCUCUGUGGUCAAGAGCUCCCCCUUCCCUGAGGUUACCUUGUGUGCUCAAGGCAGCUGAGUAACAUAAGAAGAAGCAAGGGUGUUGAUGCCAAUGGUUACCCUAUUAGUGAACUCAUUUCUGAUUGUUUGUAUGAAAACAAAUAUGAUUUCUGUUAUAAUCUUCUGACACCCCAUUCCUUGGGGCACCACUGUCCUAGACUCUGAAAUCACUGUGGUUCCUGCCAUUUCUUGACCUUGACAUUCUGUGACAGAAUGAAGGAGACCUUAGGUUCAGUGGACUUCAUUUUCUAUAACUAGCUUUACUCUAUUGAUCACAUAGUGGUAUAGCUCUUCAGUGUUUGCAAAUCAAUGUUCACAUAUUUCUGUCAUUUGAACUCAGCAUCUUUAUAGGGCAGGUAGAGAAGGUCUGAUUCUGUCCAUUGUAAAGAUGGAAGAGAUGAAACCACCAGUGUUGCUGACUGCAGAUGGAAGAUAAUUGCGUAAGUUCACACAGCGGUAGACCUGGGUUUGAAUUUGUUUUUGAAAGCAAUAUCAUCCUGAUUCUUUUCUAUCAUGUUAACACAAUUUUUAAAUGAUAUUCAUAUUCAUCUGAAUGGAGUAGAGACAGACAGUUAUAUAGUAGUUGCAAGUUUAGCUUUUAAAGAAACUGCCAAACUGUCUUCCAGAGGCUGUACUAUUUUACAUUCCCAUUAGCAGUAUAGGAGUGAUCCUUUUUCUCCACAUACUUGCCAACAUUUCUUGUUGUUCUUAUUAAAACCAAACAAGUGGUGCUGGGAAUGCAUUAAGAGAAAACAUAUAUAUUAUUAAUAGAAUAAAUAAUAAUCAAUAGAUAAUGUGCAGGAAGGGGAUUUGCAUUUACGAAACAUCUAUUGUAUCCUAUGUUCUUUACACAUAUUAUCCCUUUAAUAUAGUUCUAUACUUGCAGGGACAGGUUUUGCAUGUAAAGAAAUUGAGGUUCAGAGAUGUUAAAUAAUUUGUCUAAAGUACACAGCAUUUAAAUUGUAGAGUUUAAACCAAAGGGAUCUGGUAUUAAAAAAUUCCAGGUAAUGUUAAAAUAAAACAAUGCAUUAAAUUUGAAAGUCUUUCUGUUACUUUUUGUUCCAAAUUGGAUCUCUGUCUUUGGCUAAAAAUCAACCAUGACAACAAGAAAUGUUGGCAAGUAUGUGGAGAAACAGGAUCACUCCUAUACUGCUAAUGGGAAUGUAAAAUAGUACAGCCUCUGGAAGACAGUUUGGCAGUUUCUUUAAAAGCUAAACUUGCAACUACUAUAUAACUCAGUUAUUGUACUCGUCAGCAUUUAUCUCAGAUAAAUGAAGACUUAAGUUCACACAGAAAUAUGUGCAUGAAUGCUUACAGCAGCUUUAAUAACAGUGAAAAACUGGAAACAUCUCAAAUAUCCUUCAAUGGAAAGACAAACUUAACCAUUCUGUUAACAGUUAAGCAUGUAUGGUUAAUCGUGGCACAUGGAAUACUACUUGGCAAUAAAAAGGAACACAUUGUUGAUAAGUGCAACAGCCUGAAUGGAUCUCCAGGGAAUUAUGCUGGGUGAAAAAAUCCAAACCCAAAAGGUAACACACUGUAUGGCUCCAUUUAUAUAGAAUUCUUGAAAUGACAAAAUUAUAGAAAUGGAGAAAAGAAAAGUGCUUAUCAGGGGUUAAGGAGCAGUGGGGUGGAAGAGAGGUGAGUGUGGCCAUAAAAAGGCAACAAAAUGGAUGCUUAUGAUAAUGGAAAUUUUCUGUAUCAAUGUCAGUAUCCUUGUUGUGAUAUUGUACUGUGUUUUUGUAAGAUGUUACUAUUGGGAGAGACUGGGUAAAGCGUGCAUGGGAUCUCUAUUAUUUCUUACAACUGCAUGAGGAUCUACAAUUUUCUCAAAAUAAAAAGCUUAAUAAAAAUGCCUACUGAUCUUCAGGAAGUUCAGUUCCCUGUUUUCCAUAACUGAUCUGAAAAUAGGGGAAGGACAAUUGAGAAUUUAGGAGUUGUAAACUCUGAGGCUGAUUUUCAGCGAACUACUCAAAUUAUUCUGAUUUUUCCCCUUGAUUCUUAUUAUGGAUUGUAGGACAUUCUUCCUACUAUUUUGGAGAAGAAAAAAUGCCACCUCUCUAUCAUAGGACUUCUGUUUUACAUAUGAUUUAAAAAUCUAUUAGCUGACUAAUUUACACACUAGAAGAUGAAACUUGGUUACAUUAGAUUCCAUUGCCACAAUUUAUUUUAAAAAUCAGAGUUCUCAUCUUUCUUGUUUCUUCUUCCUGCCUUACUUUAUUUUCUUUUUUCCUUAUUCUAUUUGAACCCAUAUUUUCCUAUAUUGUACUGUUUAGUCUAAAAACUAGUAAGCAUGCAUAUUGUUGAUUAAAUUAGCAAUUGACGCUCUUAAAAUGAGAACUAUAAAGACUCUUGAGCUUCCACACAUUAUGCUAUGCUUGCCAUAUGCUUGGGUGUUCUUAUUUUCGGAGAGAAGUAAUGGAGAUUAUAAAUGUUAUUUUUAAAAUUUACUGGUGAUUUGUUGAGAAGAUAAAGUAACAACACUAUUACAGAGGGUUGCUCUUGAUCUCCCAGGCCACCAGUGCAGUCACCGAGCCCUCUGCAAACACCUGAUAAUGCUGAAGAGUGUGUUAGUCAUUGUAGAGGAGCUGCUGUCAUGACAAAUAGGGGUUAAAUUGUGAGAAUUUCAGGAUAUAUUUUGGGGAAGGAUUAAAUAAAUCAGGGGACUUGCUGACAGCAAAUAGUAUCUUUGAUUUGAAACACAGAAUCAGAGAAUUGAGAUGAAUCCCAGGUGGUGGUUGGGAGUUUGAAAAAGUCCCAGUGAGUUGGCUGACUAAGUGUAGACUUCAUUUCAACAUCAUUAAAUAGUCUUUAAGUGGUGACUUAAUAAUUGUUGCCCCAAGAAAAGAUUUUGCUAAAUACAGAGGUGGAAUUAAGUAUAUUAAUCCAAGAAACAUUUUAUUUAAAUGAUUUUCCUAACAGUAAGGUUGGAAGGCCCUAGAACUGCUUCUAGGAGCUUGAAGUGCAUUUAAUAGUUAACUGUCAGAAUGAAAAAUGAAAUUUUAAAUUUCAACAAUGCAAUUAAGUUCUUAUUUUCUUAUGAUAGUGAAUAAUAAAUUUCAUUCAAGGACGCCAUUGGCAGAUGUUGAAAAGAACCAUUUUCACUCCACUAGCUUGCAGUGGACUAAGAGGUAGCAGGAAGGGAGAUUGGUACUACAGAUCCUGAAAAAACAAAACAACACAAAACAAAAUCCACACCACAAAUGGACACUUCCAGAUGCUUACCAACAGGAAGUGCCUUGGAGGACAAGGGCUGUGAGACAGGUGAACUCUAGGGAACAAGAAUUCCUAGUUCCAUGUCUGUUUACAAGAAUUUGUCAUGACUGGUUCACCUCACUUUAUAGUUUCCUCAGACCAAAGAGACAAAGAAAAAGCAAAAAACAAAAACAACAAAAAUUCUGAAACGAAUGGACAAUACAACCAAAACUUUAAUAUGAACCAAAACAAAAAUUGGGCUGAUUUUAUGAGGUUGACUUAAAGUCAGGAAAAGAAUGAUAAACUUUUGAGAGGAAGAAAGAAAUCAUCAAAGCCACGAGGAGCUCAAAGUGGUGUUUAAUAGCAGCUAUCACAUUGCGCCCGAGCCUUGACCACUUCUGACGCAGCUGUUUCGUUUUAAGAUGUUCCCAUUCCUGUUCCACUCACACAGUCCUCCACAGUGACCUGAGUGCACGCACCCAAGCCGGCAGGCCACUCUAGAAAACCGUAAACCCCUCAGAGAGUCACUGCAGGAAUAGGGGAAAUGGAAGUGAUGAAAUUCAAUAUAGCAUUUAGCUGAAUCAUCAUCUGAGGUUAAGCCCAGUGAACAAUUAGCAGUAUCGGGAGUCUCCUCGUACCUGUCAAAAUCGCACCGACGGGAUUUUGUGCAAAGUAUGUAUGUGUGUGGAAGUUGUUUUUUAUGUUUAAUAGCAAUGGACCUGGGGUAGUAAUUUAGAUACAACUUUUUAAAAAAAAUACUAAAGGGCAAGUGUGGUGAGAAGCUUCUUACUCAGGAGGAUCUUUUCAAACAUUGCAAAACAUCAGGCCUUGAAAUAAUUCAUUUUAUUAAGUAGCGCACUCUUGUCUUUUCAUUCACAAAAGGAGGAUGAUUUAUUAUACAGAUAAAUGCUUGCAUAGGAUGAUGAACACCUGUAGGAAUGCAUGAUAUUCUGGAAGUUGAUCAAGGUCCACUGUACACCAGUAAUUAGAGGUCAUGAUGAUGAUAAUAAUAAUAAUAAUAAUUAAUAAUGGCACAUACUAUGUGUCAGCUCCUGUUCUAACUUCGUUUCUCAUAUUAACUUAUUUAUUUUUCAUGAUUAGCCACUAAGAUACAAUUAUUAUCCCUGUUUUGUAGACAAGGAACUGAGUGAAGCUCAAAGAAGUAACUAGGAUCACACUGUCACACAGGCAGGAAUGAAACCCAUGCAGAUUGGCUCCUUAGUGUGCUCUCUGAUCUAUUAUCAUUCAUCACAUAUUUACUGAGCAUCUAGUAUAUGAAAGGUAUUAGGCUUUAUGCAGGCAAUACUUUAGCGAAGCCAGGGAGAUGUCUCUGCCUUCUUUGAGCUUAUAGCUUGGUGGGCAAAAAGCUAAUGGUUUAACUGUAUAAAAAACUUGAUGUUGUGAAAUGAUAUAUGCCAAUGUUUGCAUGGUAUGAUGAUUUUGAUUAAGCACCAUAAUAAAAAUAGGGAGCCUGGGUCUCACACAGCCUUGAUUGUCUUCUUCCUUCUGCUCCCCAGUGGAGUGCGUAGGAAGGUCACACCCUCAAUGUCAGGCUCCUUCACUGUUCUCAGUGAGUGUCUCAGGUUGUAGGCUACAUGAGCAGGUUUGCACCUGGAUAUGAUUGUGGCAGUAACAAUAGAUGUGACUAUACACAGUGGCAGUGGCAGUAGGGGUGGGAGUUGGGUGAUGGGAUGAUCUUAGAAUGCAGUGUUGGUAUUAACUCAGUUUUGUUUUGUUUUGAUGUACAGCCAGCCAUACGACUCUGGAAUAUGACUCUGGGUUUACCAACUUGGGGAUGGCCCGGGGAUUUAGGAGAUGGCCCCAAUGGCUCUCCUCUUUUUUAGAAAGGACUGUUCAAGUUCCUUUUUUUUUUCUUUUUAAACAGGAUCUCGUUUUGUCACCCAGAUCGGGGGCAGUGGUGUAAUCUCAGCUCACUUGAACCUUUGCCUCCCUGGCUCAAGUGAUCCUCCUGCCUCAGGUGUGAGCCACCAUGCCAGGCUAAUUUUUGUAUUUUUUGCAGAGACGGGGUUUCACCAUGUUGCCCAGGCUGGUCUUAAGCUCCUGAGCUCAAGUGAUCCAUGUUUCUGCCUCCCAAAGUGCUGAGAUUACGGUUUGAGCCACCACAUCUGGUUUAAGCUAUUUCUUCUAAAGAUAUAGUCACAUCUAUUAUCUUUGACCCCUGCCUAAGCAAUUCUGUUCAGAUCUUAAGACUAUUUCUUCCCGGGAUUCAAACUCAGAGUUAAGUAGAGUCAACUAUAUGAGGUAUAUGUGAGGUUAAUUUUUGAAACUUUUAUUUUUAAUUUCAUCUGGGAUCUCCUCUAGGGAAGACCACUUUAUGAUUAUGGGUUGCAUUCCCAAGUUCAGUUGAUUGAAUUUAUUCAUACAUUAUUUAAUAAAUGUUUAUUGAGACUGAAAAUAAACUUGAAAUCCUAGAAUUCAUUGGUUGUCUUAAAAAUUCUAAAUAUGAAAUGCUAACUUUAGCUUCAUGAGUAUUUAGAAUAGAAAAUAAAUAAUUCAAAAAUUGUUCAGGAAAAAAAUCCAUGAUUUAUUCUACUCUGGAGGAGCAUAUUCAAUUUAAAACAUACCGAUUCGUAUAAACUUAUUGGUAAUGAGGCGAUAUACUUUUUAUGAGAACAUAUCAAACCAUAGACAUUGAGAUCCAGCAUCUCCUGAGUGAGUAAAAUGUCAGGGUUUUAUUGAUACUAAUGAUAAUGGGAGUGACAUAUGUGCAUAGAGUAAGUCCAUGGUUGAAAGCCUGGCUGAUUAGGCGCUGCGUUCUGUGGUUUUUGCCACUUGUGUGUGAUUAAACCCUGCAGAAUAGAGUCUGUUGCCAUGUAUUUGGUUCGUGAAGAAAACUAGUAAAGUGAUAUUGAAUGAAUGAUUCAGUUUCUCAAAAGGGUAGACUAUUGGCCUAACACCUUCCUAACUUGGAGCUGUCAACGUGUUUAGUUUGGUUCUAAUGGGAGCUAGGCUGGAGAAGAGAAAAGUUUUGUGAGAAAGGUUAUGUGAUAUUAAUAAGAACCACAUUCCGUUUGAUGUUUUCUCAAAUGAUUUUUUUUAUCUUCCUAAGAAAUUGAAUGAUUCAAAAAUAAUAAAUCUUCCUUUUCUAUGGCCCACAAAUGAUCAACAUUUUGGAUGAUCAAAACAAUUUUGUCUUUAAGAUAUCACAACUUCUAGUGCCUCUUUAUUUGCCAGUGCUGAUUUACAGCAGAAAGUAUCACUUCAUAUUUUUUCCAAGCAUCAAAGUCAUGUGUUUUACAAAUAUUCACAAGUGCUUAAAAUCCAUGAACCUCUCUCUGUAUUCCUAUUUUUUUAUUCUUCUAUAAGUAUGUAUUUAAAUUGGUUAAACAGAUGGCUUUCUACUUUUGAAAAAAAAAAACCCACUAAGAAUAUUCACCUCAAGAUGGAGAACUCAUAGGUUAAAUUUCAUUCUGGAAUGCACGUUUACAACCAGGUAAUUAACCUUUGAAAAUGAGGGUACUCGAAGGAAACAAGGAAAAUCUUAACAAGAUGAUCUCACUAACGCUGGUGUGUUAGACUUCUCAGAAGUAGAGAUGCCCCAGAAGUUUAACAAUGAAAAACUUUAAAAUAUUUUUAAAAACAUAGUUAAUCUUUGUAGCUUUCCAGUUUUCGUCCUUUAUUACGAUAACCUUAGGAGGUAAACGCUUCAAGGGGUGUAUCCUUAUAAUCAUAGGAAUUGGUACACAGAUUUUGGUGGAAAGAUGGAGGUGUCAACAUUAACCAGUCAACAUAUAUUUGUUGACUGCCUACCACAUGCACAAGUCUCUUCCAUGCUUGCGAAGAGAUACAGUGAUGUGCAAUGUGUAGAAUCUGCCCUUCAUGAGCUUUUGAUUUAGUUAGUCUGAGAAGGAAUAGAUCAGUGAAAAGUUAAAAGGAAUAAUAGAUGGAGUGUUGAGGCAGUCCAUGAUUGUUAUCUGAGACAUUGAGUUUACAAUGCUAAGUUAAAAGAAUGAGAGAUCACUAUGGGAUAGAAUGGACAGGAAGAGUUCCUCUCCUUGAAGCUUGCAUUAAGCCAUAAAAGACAAAGCAAUUUUGGAAAUGCAGAAUUUGGAGAUAUGAAGAAAGAAUAAUUCCCAGAAAGGGAGAAGAGUUUUGGAGCCAGACAGAUCUGGGUUCAAAUCUUGGUUCUCUUGUUCUCUAGCUGUGUAAUCUUGGGAAGUUACUUAGCUUUUAUGGACAUCUUCUAUAAAAAGGAUAUGAUAGCGACUAUUUUGUUAAUUUUUUAGGAUUAAUUGAGAUAAUAUAUAUAAAGUGUUUUAAGCACUUGAUAAAAGGUAAUCCUCUCAGUUGGAGAGAACAUCCUAAACAAGUCUGGAGGAAGGAGACAGCCAGCCAUGUUCAUGGGACAAAAAGAAGACUAUUAUGAGUGGAGGGAAAGAUUAAGAGAAGUAGAGUGAGAUCACAUGGAAAGAUAAAUUAGGAUUAGCUUCAGCCAUUCACUUGUUUCUUCAUUUAAUACUUUAUUGCACUCUUUAUGUGGGAAGCUCUCUCAUGUGGGAAACCCUCUGCUCGGCAUGGAUAUGCAGAGACAAAGAAAACUUAGCCUUGGAUUUCUCUUGAAUGUCAGGUUAAGGAGUUGGAACUUCAUGCUGAGGAGAAUUAUAUCUUUCAAAAGUGGAGGAGCUUGAAAGUAGCAUUUUUGGAUAGUUAACAUGGAAUGUGAUUCUUGUGACCCAAGAUAUGCAUUAAGUUACCAUCUCCUAGUGGUUGAUGGUUAAUGUUGUGCCUGGAGAUGUGACCCAGAUUCUCUUGUAGGUCAUUCCUGACAGAGGGUCCAUUCCAAUGAGUGAGGAGGAGGAGCUUCUGGGCUGAACUUAAUCUCAUCUCCUGAAAUAAAGCAAUGACAUUGAAAUUUUUCAUAUUGCACUUGUGUUUACAUUUCUCAUCUAAUCUGAGAUAUUCCACGUUUGGUGAGUCUUGCUUUGGGCCUGCAGUCUUGGUGACCCUUAUUAGUUGCACUGGAAUAGCUGUCUAUUCAGGGAGAAGUAGAAUCCUGGGAAUCUGGUCUUCAGUGACUUUCUCCAUGAUCAUGAAUUUCAUGAGAGGAGGUCCCCUUCCUGUUAGUAGAUCUCUAUAGCAAGAGGUUCUGAGGCACACAAGCACACUGGAUACUCACCUACAGUUCUAGUUUAACUGAUGGAACAUAGGUAUUUCUUUCAUGAAACUUUGCCUGGAUAAACAGCUUCUGUAUCUUCUAGUGACAAAAUUUUGCCUCCUGUUUUCCCCUCUAGCUCUAGUCUUAAUCUCUACUUCCUUGUUCAGUCCAAGGCUCAGGAGAACCCAGAUCAUAUAAGAUAUGGAACCUAUUGCUUCCUAGGAUGUCCUUGUACACAGUGACUAACUGCUAAUUUCAAGGAUCAAUUUCUUUCUGGAGUUAGAAUCAUAUUAUAUUAUGUUUCAGAACUGAAAUAAAAUUCUUUUAAGGUGAUUAUAUUUUGGCUCUCAGCUUGGAAGAUGCCACUGGGGCAUGGCAUACAAGACACAUAACUUAUAGGAGGACCUCCUUUAAUGCCCAAGUGCCAGCUUCAUGCUUGUUGUUAUAUAUCAUUUUAUUCCUGGCUUUGAUGCCCACACACAGACAUAUAUCCACACAAAGUUCAAUCUAUAUAUUUUUUGUAGCUGUUUAGCUCAGGUGAUUAGGGCAUUGAGCUAAUGAGAACAAGGUCACAGUUUCAGUCUUUGUGUGGGCCAGCAAGGUUUGCUUUGUUCAGAGGCCACAGACCUGGUCCAGCCAGCUGUCCAGCACAUGUCUGCCCCAAGUCAUGAGAGGACGGGGCAGGAGUGUGUGGAUGGACAAGAGCAAAUCCAUCACCACCCUUAGAAAAAGUCAAGUCAAGCACGUGUCCUACUAAUGGGGGUCAAUAAUGUCUCAUUUAAAUGGGGCUGACAUUUUAUUACCUCUUGCUGAGAGGGUCUUUUGAGCACCAAAUUUAAACAUUGUCGCUUUUUUGUGUGAAUUUAUUUCUAAUAAAUGGAAGGUUGUACAAGACCUUAGAUGAUUACAGGUUUCCAAAUACAGAUUAAUGACUUCAAUAUUUAAGAAGUUGAUGUGAUAUUAAAAAAGAAAGUUCAGUAUGGCUAUUCAGUUAUCUUCCCUUAUUAAAAUCUGUUUUGGCUAAUGAAAUAAAAAGUUCAUAAGUUCUUCCGAGAGUAAGUGAGAAUCAUUGCCUUCAUUCAAGAAUGAAAACAUUAUUAUUAAACUCAUUGAUAAUGAGACCAUUAAAAGUUAGCAUGAAGCAGGUACAAUACAAUUCUUUAUUAUUGAAGUCUUCAGAUAUUACCCAGCCUACACAUCCCACCUUUCAUUUUUAGGCAAACAAAUUCCCCAAACUAUAUUUUUUUUAAAUUUAGCAUUAGGUCUUGUUAGGCUUCAAAUGGGAUCAAAACCAAUCCUUUCCAAAGUGUUCUACCCCAGCUGUUUCCCUCACCUGGGUGGUAGUGAGUAUAAAGGCAUUUGAUACAGAAGGGGGUGGUGGGGCAGAGAACAGAAAGGAAACUUGGUGAGAGAAUGAUGAAGAAUGAUAUAUUAGAGAUUCUUUUAAAAUUCAUUCAUUAAACAAAUGUAGCAUAAUGGAAAUGUCUAUUAAAUUUUUUGGCAUAGGUAAUGCACUUGCAAGGGUAAAAACAGAAAUAUGAGAUGGUAUUUUAUGAAAAGUUUUGCUCACCCCGCAUCCAUCAUGAACCCAAUUCUACUGCCCUUGUAUAGCCAUUUUUAUUAGUUUCUUGUGUACUCUUUCAGAAUUUCUUUAUGCCAAUAUAUCUUAAACUCUUUCCUUUUUUUCAUACAAAAAUUAACACCCUAUCAAUUUUGUUCCUGGCAGGGUGAGGUGGCUCACACCUGUAAUCCUAGCACUUUGGGAGGCCCAUGCGGGAGAAUUACUUGAGCCCAGGAGUUUGAGACCAGCCUGGGCAGCUUAGGGAAACCCUGUCUUUAUAAAAAAAUAAAAAAUUAGCCAAGCAUGGUUGGUGUGUGCCUGUAGUCUCAGAUAACUCAGGAGGCUGAGGCAGGAGGAUCACUUGCACCAGAAGGUUGAGGCUGCAGUGAGCCAUGAUUGCACCAUUGCACUGCAGUCUGGGUGACAGAGAAAAACUCUGUCUCAAAAAAAAGGUCUUGAGCUUGCUUUUUCUACUUAACAAUAUGUUUUGUAAAUCUUUCUGUAUACGCAAAGUAGCCUCAUUUUUCAUAGUUGUAUAUCAUUCUAUUGAUGUGCCACACUUUAUUUAUCUACCCCCCUAUUGAUGGACCUUCAUAUAGUUUCUAAUAUUUUCUAUUACAGACAACAAUGUAUUGAAUUACUUUGGAAUGCAUUAGGUAGAAAGCAUUCUUCUUUCUUUAAACAUUUGCGUAGCAUUCCACUGAAUGGCUAUAUCAUAACUUAUUUCUCUAGCCCCCUAUUGAUCGUCAUUGAGUUUCCAAUCUUUUAUUUUUAAAGACAAUGUCAUAAUGAAUAACUUUAUACAUGUAUUAUCUUAUAUAUGUGGAAUUAAAUUUACCAUGUCUAGAUAAUUUUAUUUGAAUGCAAUUAAGUAUGAUAUCAAAAAUUAUAAAAUCAAAACUGCAGUGAGAAUUCAUCUUACCCCAUGUAAAAUGACUCUUAUCCAAAAGAGAGGUGAUCAUGAAUGCUGAUGAGAAUGUGGAGAAAGGGGAACCUUCAUACACUGUUGGUGGGAAUGUAAAUUAGUACAGCACUAUGGAGAACAGUAGAGAUUCCUCAAAAAACUAAAAAUAGAACUACCAUACAAUCUAUCAAUCCCACUGCUGGGUAUAUAUCCAAAAGAAAAGAAAUCAGUAUAUUGAAGAGAUAUCUGCACUCUCAUGUUUAUUACAACACUAUUCACAGUAGCCAAGACAUGGAAGCAACCUAACUGUCCAUCAACAGAUGAGUGGGUAAGGAAAAUAUGGUACAUAUACACAGUAGAAUAUUAUUCAGUCAUAAAAAAGAAUAAAAUAUUAGUUGGGCAUGGUAGCAUGCACCUGUAGUCCCAGCAACCAGGGAGGCCUAGGUGGGAGGAUUGCUUCAGUCCAGGGAAGUCGAGGCUGCAGUGAGCCCUGAUCACACCACUGCACUCCAGCCUGGGCAAUAUAGCGAGACCCUGUCUCCAAAAGAAAAAAAAAAAGAAUACAGAAUGAAAUUCUGUCAUUUGCAACAACAUGGAUAAAACUGGAGGACAUUAUGUUAGGUGAAAUAAGCCAGGUACCGAACGACAUAUUUCACAUGUUCCCACUCAUAUGUGGGAGCUAAAAAUUAAAACAAUUGAACUCAUGGGGAGAGUAGCAUGAUCAUUACCAGAGGCUGGGAAGGGUAGUGGGAGGAAGGAAUAAAGUAGGGAUGGUCAGUGGAUACAAAAACACAGUUAGAAGGAAUAAGAUCUAGUGUUCUGUAGCACAACAGGGUGACUAUAGUUAACAAUAACUUAUUGUAUAUUUUAAAAUAACGAAAAGAGUGGAAUUGGAAUGUCCCUGGCACAAAGAAAUGAUAAAUGCUUGAGGCAGUGAACACCCUAAUUAUCCUAAUUUGAUCGUUACACAUUGUAUGCCUUCAUGAAAACAUCACAUGUGCCCCAUAAAUGUAUACUGUUAUCAUGUACCCAUCAUAAUUUUAAAAAAUAGAAAAGAAUUAUCACAAUUAUUUUAAAUGAAGAAGCACUAAGUAGGAAAUAAGGUACAAUUUAAUUCAGAAUAGCUUUCCUUAGUAGUGUUCAACCUACUGUACACAUCAACAACACGCCCUUGCAGUUAACAUUGUUGCUGGAUGUUUACUGUUAUGUGUGACCAGCUGACAUGUCCCUCUAAAGAAAGAGGAUUUAAAUAAGUCAUGUAUGAAAGACUGGGUAAAGGUGAGACACUGUAAGACCUAGAUUAUUUUGGGGCUGUAGCAAUCAGAUUAGCUAUUGAGUAUUCAUUCAUAAAUUCAUUCACUUCACUGAGUCAUCCACUUCUUGUCAGAUUCUGUAUUUAUUCAUCUCCUAGUAAGCUACUCAUUGUGCUAAAAUGCUGGUAAACAGAAGUACAAAGCACCAGUUAUAACUCACAGUCUUGUAGAGGAAUUAAGAAAUGGACAGGAAACAGUAAGGGUGCAUUGUAGGUAUCUCAAGAAUGAUAUAAAGUGUUAUGGCAGAUCUAAGGAGGAAGACAUGACUUUCCAUAGAUAAUGGAUGGUGGCAUCUGUUCUGGAGUACCAGAAAAUUAGAGUAACAAAAACACAGCAGGAUAGAUUUUCUUACAAUGCAGUGAUUCAUACAAAGGCUACCUUGACUGUUAGUUUGUGACUGGAAACUCUCAGUCAGGGCUGACGGAGGGAGUCCUGCCCCUGCCAGCUGUUCACCUUUCCCUGGUGCUGGGGUUGACACUUCACAUGCUCACAUAGUCUGGUUCUGUGCUGUCUACUAGGGUUGAGUGUGCUGCUGGGCAGAGAAUUUUGGCAUUUCUCCAGAUGCACAUGAGGGGCAGACCGCCUCAGCAGUUGCUAAUGACCCAAAGAAGCCUUCUUUCAUGACUUAUUUUGUCCCCUCAUUUUAUUUUUUGAUGUAUUUUGGUGAGCUGAGCUACUACCUUCUCAGGCAGUCCCAACCUCAGAAAAUUAACCAUGUAGCUUUCUCAUAUCUGACAUUGCAAAUUGAGGCAAGGUCGCAUGCUUUCUGACUACCUGACUGCCUGGGCAUUUCUUUCAUGCAACUUGUUUAAGCCGCCCAUCCUGAUCCCUGUUGCUAAGCCACCAUGGCUGCAUUUGGACGCAGUUCUUCCCAGCUUUGCCGCAGCAUAACUGUGGAAAGGAUCUUGAUGAAUUUGGACCUGGGGAGGGACGUGGGAGGAAAGAGAAAUGGUCUAAUGGAAGAAAGUGAACAAACAAAGACAUGCUCACAGAAAACUGCCAAGUGUGAGGGGUGGGAAAACAGAGUUCAGCCUGGCUGAACGUAGGAAUCUGGAUGGGAAUGGUAGAUCUUAGGCUCCUGUUUUUCAGCUUGCCGCUCUAGUGAUGAUUCUUGUAGAUAUAUUUUUCCAAGUAAAAGGAGCAUUUCCAAGUGACUGUUGUUUAAAAUAAAGUACAUGUUGCAUUUGUAAUGUAUGAAUUAUGAGUAUUAAAACUGACAAUGAAAUGAGAGUAAUAUACUUAAUUAAAAUUAAUUAGAUCUGUUGGCACACCACUAGAAGGACAAAUAUGAUAUUUAAUAUAUCACUCUACUCCAGACCUGUCCAAUUAAACUUUUGGCCAUGAUAGAAACGUUCCAUAUCUGUUGUCCAAAAACAGUAACCCCUAGUCACAUGUGGCUAUUGAGAACUUGAAAUGAGGCUAGUGCAACUGAAAACUGAAUUUUAACUUUGUUUAAUUUCAGUGAAAUUUAAUUUGAAUUUAAAUGGCCCCCUGUGAGCUAGUAGCUACCGUAUUGGACAGGGAAGCUCUAAACAGGGUUCUAAACAUGUGGAAUUAACAGCACUUAAGAGCUGGAGUAGACCUUAACCUUUACCAGGUCUCAAACUUUGAUUUACAAAUGGGGAAAUGGCAGCCAAGAAGGUGAAACACCUUGUCCAGAGGCACACUAGUAGGAAUUAGCAGAACUGGAACCUGGUGUUUGGAUGUCCUGGCUCCCGGCCUGGGGGACUCUUGAUUCCAACACGCUCUCUCCCAGUUAUGACAGAGGGCUGUGGCUGGACCCAGGUAAGGAUGCUGGGUUGGUAGAUUGAGAAAAUAAGGCCACGCGUAGUCUUUCAAAUCAACCAAGCAAGAGAUAUUUGCUGUACAUGGUGGCAGACACUGAGAUCAACAGAGAGGUUGUUGUGGUGUGGGGGAGGGCCUGUAAAAUGGCAUAAGGAGUCUACUGGGAAAAACAGGAUAGUGAUAGAUUAUAUAUCUCUAUAUUUAUCUUUCUAUAUAAUCUACCCUGUUUUCCCAAAUGGAUUUCCCAAAUGUGUGUCACUUGUAUAUCUGGCUGUCACUGGUACAAGGUAGUCCAAAUGGACAGGGUACGCAAACCCCAGACAGGGCUAUGGAAAUUUAGGGAGAUCUGUGUGGGUGAGUGGUCGGGGAGAGCUUCAGGGAUAGGACAGGCUUGACUUAUAUUAGAUAGUGUAACACAGAAGGUAAAAUACAACUUUAGGAUCAUUCAAAUUUAACAGUGGUUGAUAUGAAACAAACUUCUUAUCCAGAGUUGGUUUUGUAUUCUUGCUUUCUGUAUUAAUUAUAUGUGUUUACUGAUUCACCACAAUCAGCUAUACUGUCCCUAGAAUUUUAAAAUGUGAAAAGAAUGUGGUUUGUUUCAGGACUAUUUUUCUGUAGAAUGGUGAUUGUAUAGAAUUAAUUAAUAUUACAGUUGCAUUAUUAGACCACAGUAAGGUAAAUGGUCACAAAAGACCAUACAUUUAAAUCAGGAGAAAAGUAAUGGCUAUUGUUAUCCUGUAGGCAUAGCUGGGAAAUCAUAUCCUUACUUGGCUUGCUAAAGUCUUAACCUAGUACUACAUGACAGUAUCUCCAGAGAUUUUUUUUUCCCAUUCGUAGGCACAACAAAUGAGACCCAAGUGCUCAUAGAACAUUCCAAAGAGUCAACAGAGAGAAGUGGAAAGUAUUAGAAACAUGAUUGUGUUUGCAAAGGGAGACAUAAAC